rnacentral:rRNA from 1 species
AACGAACGCUGGCGGCAGGCCUAACACAUGCAAGUCGAACGCCCUAGCAAUAGGGAGUGGCAGACGGGUGAGUAACGCGUGGGAACCUUCCCAUUGGUACGGAAUAGCCCAGGGAAACUUGGAGUAAUACCGUAUAAGCCCGAAAGGGGAAAGAUUUAUCGCCGAGGGAUGGGCCCGCGUAGGAUUAGCUAGGUGGUGAGGUAAUGGCUCACCAAGGCGACGAUCCUUAGCUGGUCUGAGAGGACGAUCAGCCACACUGGGACUGAGACACGGCCCAGGCUCCUACGGGAGGCAGCAGUGGGGAAUAUUGGACAAUGGGCGCAAGCCUGAUCCAGCCAUGCCGCGUGAGUGACGAAGGCCUUAGGGUUGUAAAGCUCUUUUGGCGGGGACGAUAAUGACGGUACCCGCAGAAUAAGCCCCGGCUAACUUCGUGCCAGCAGCCGCCGUAAAAC